rfam:Triticum aestivum genome assembly, contig: Triticum_aestivum_CS42_TGACv1_scaffold_148002_2BS
AAAGUACUCCCUCCGUCCCAAAAUUCUUGUCUUAGAUUUGUCUAGAUACGGAUGUAUCAAGUUACAUUUUAGUAUUAGAUACAUCCGUAUCUAGACAAAUCUAAGACAAGAAAUUUGGGACAAAGGGAGGUGUUGA